rnacentral:lncRNA from 1 species
CUCAUACUCCUCAUUUUUCCGGGACCGGACAGACAAAUAAAAUCUGGCUAAGUACUGAUUGAGUUCAGGUACAGAUAUAUCCUCUAUUGCCCGUAAUUCGUUGUUCUCCUUUAACCAUUCAGUUAAUAAUUUUAUGUCACUUUUAGUUUUUCUCUUUGUAUUAUCAUUUUUCAUUUCUUCAAUGAAAUUACUGGUAUCAUCAUUUGUUACAGUCAUAAACCUCUCG